UUGUUAUUCAUUCGUUUGAUGUGCUUGAGCUUUUGAUUUUGUCAUUUGACUAUGGAGACUAUGGACUUUCCGUUUUUAAUUUUCUUCGGUGUUCGGUAUUUUCGUGAUUUUACUUUACUCAAAUGAAAACCAAAUCCCAAAGCAUCUUAAGUUACAAAUGACGAGUUUGAUAUUUCAUGCAAUGUUUUUUAAGUAACUAGUAGCAGAGAUUCGUGUUGAGUAUUGAUCUUUUAAAUACCGAGAAAGCCAUAUGUUUAUUAUGAAACGUCUUUGCAUUAAUGAAAUUAUCUAAACGUAGUGUAGCUAUUUUACAGAUCGGC
rnacentral:lncRNA from 1 species